UUAUUAAAACCUUAUCAAAAAAUACAACAGAAGACUGAAUAGAGAAAAUACUACAGUGCCAGCAGCAGAGGAUUUUUUCCCACGAUGUGCUCAUACACACAAUGGAUGUUCUGCCUUUUAACCCUUUUGGCCCCUCCCAAAGUUCUGUCCAUCGACUCCUUCUUCACUGUCCAGUGGUGAGAUCACUUUCUUACAUCUUGCUUGGAGGUCAGGCAUUGCCAUAGUAAUGAGCCGACCUGCCCAAGAGAACAGUGCAAAAGGGAGGGAACAUUACGAUAAAUCUAUAAAACUUCUCUUAGCAUAUAUAUAAUAUUUGCCCUUCAAUUGUGAGAGUCAAUCAUUGCAUUACUCAUUUAUCACAUUAAAGUUUUUAUUUUCCGGGCUAGUUCAAUUGUUCCCAUCCCUCUUUAUUAGCUGGCUCCUCCCAGCUAAUCUGAGCAGGGGGAUCACAGUGGGUUCCUAAGCGCAUAUCUGGCACCCCAAGAACAGGGACCUCACACUGAGGGACCUCCUUGGUUUUGGUUUGGCUGAAUCUUGGCAAACUGGUAUGACUUUUUUCUCUGCUGUGGAUUAAAUCUUAAGCUGAUGUUACUGGAAGCCGCCUCUCGGACCUGGUUUGGUUCUUCUGGAUGCCUGCUCUAAAAAAGCAGGUAAACAGAGAAAAGGAUACGCUUAUUCCCGCCUGAUCCUCCCUUUACCGGGUGGGAAUGCCCACCUAAUCCCGAUUAAAAAGGGAAUAAAACUAUCUAGACCUCAGAGGAAUGUUUGUGGACUAUUUAAAAUACUUUUAGCAGUCGACAGCACAAAAAUCCAAAAACGUGAGUGUGAAAAACGCCAAUCAUUUGGUUUUUAAAAUUUUAAAAGUUUAAUAAUAAUAAAAUGGUUAUAAAAAUAGUAAUACAAUUAGACUAAUAAAAAUUUAGAGUUAGGACAAUUACAAGUCCAUAAAAAGCAAAGAAUUACGGACGUCUGGAUGCUGUUGGGCCCUUAAGCCCGAUAAGCAUGCCUUGUGAAAAAAGGAAUAACCUUAAAAGCAAUAGCCUGUUGCAUAUCCAUACAUCCCAUACAUGAUGCAUAAAUUCCUUGCAAAUUAAGAGCUUUUCUGGUUUUUAUCAACUUCUUCUCCUUAAUCCUGGUGGUUCCAUAAAGACGGAGAGAAGGUGGAAAAUGUUUGCCUUUUCCAAUAAGGAGGCCGUAACUCUUUAUGGGCCCCGUCCCUGCCAUCUCUGUGCGAAGAAUUUCUUGAUUAUCUCAUCUCCUUCUUGAGCUGGUUAAAAGGUAUCUUACAUAGUAUAGUUUCUAUUUUAACAUUGUGUUAUAACCUAAAAAUACAUUUAACACACUACUUGAGAGAAUUAAUAUAGCAUAGCUUUCCAACAUUACACAUAUAAUAUUCAUUGUAACAUUUGCGAAAAGCCAAUCAUAAAAUAUGCAUUUUUCACAGUGAGUUAAAAAGCUUCCUAAAAUGGGUGUUGCAAAACUUUCUUGCUGCUGUCCGGGGAGAAACCCCCCUGCUUCCACCACAGCUGCAGCAGCCCGCAGCACAGCACCGCCGGCUGCCAAUACGGCCCUGCUCAGCACAGCAGAAAAUGGCACAGACUGUGGUGUGUUCUCUCCGGGAUUUUGGGAUUCUGUGGGGGUUGCCCUUUAUGACCUGGCAACCAAGGGAUAGUCUCUCGCGGUUUGUCUGCUCCCUGCUUUCCACAUGGUUUUCGAAGCACUUAAGGCCGAAAAGCUCCAACUCCCAGCACCUGACUCCUCCCCUACCCUGCCAGUGCAGCAGGACUCCGGGCGGUCUGAGACCAUCCCGCCACAGCGACCCCUUCCGAAACUGGGACUGCUUCCAGCCCUUCUAACCCUGGGGAGGGAAUUCGAGAGCAGAUCUUGUUGCAUACACAGGAGCCAAAGCUUUUAGCUACUCCUGCUCUCUCAUUUUCUCUCCCUUGUCACCCCUCAGAUUGCCCUGGAAUGGGAUACGGGGUUGAGAAUGCCCCUGAGUGCAGACAAAACCUAGACAGGGUGUUAUAAAUACAUAUUAUAAUAUUGGGUUUUUUCAAAUAUUAAAACAAAUGCUAAAUGCAUAAUGUUAAAGAAACUUUGCUAUAAAGAUACCGUUUUUAUUUCUGCUAUUAGCUGAACUUAGACACAGUAGUGAAAUAGCUGACAUAGUUAUGCUUGUGGUUCGAGCUGCCUGCCUGGUUGGGAUAACAUCCAAUGAACGUAUGAUGAAGACCCCUGCUACUGACAUGCCAAACUAUCAGGGUCUACCAUCUGUAGAAAGUACGGACCAAAGCCCAGGCUGGAGGUGAUAACGCACUAAAACCACAGCCAAGAAAUGCACAUGCUCUAAAAAGGUGGACCCAAGGAGGAGCCAUGCUAAACAGUUCUUGGAACAUGUAAACUAGUUUGGGGAAAUGUUUAAAUAUGCAUUAUUGUUUAUGAAUAUGCAAUAGGCUGAUGCAAUAGAAAAGGUGUGUAAAAGGUGUCUCCAAAAUAGCAGGUAUGCUUUUGGCUCAAUGCCACAUACCCAGCCGUUAAACUUUGCUUUAUUUUUGUAUCCUAUUGUCCUUUAUUAAACUUUUACAUUUUUACAGGAGAAUUAGCCUCAUUUUUCACAACAGUUUACUCAGCUACCCUGUAUUCCCUUCUGCCUCCUCCACUCGGGAUGUGAGACGGCGGUGGCCACGUCACCUUGGACUCCUCUCCCCCACCUUCCCCUGUGCCUUUGCUACCCCAACCCCCUCCAAUUCAUCUGAAUACCCUGUUGCAUUGCCUGCUAAUGACUCUGCUAAUAUGUACUCCUUUCGAGAUGAUAUGUCGCUUCAGGUUUCACCCCUGAGCUCCACCCUCGCUGCCCAGGGUCCUGAUGCUCCUGCUCCAGACUACAACUCCCAGCAUGCCUUAGACCACGCCCCUCCUGGGGAAACCGGAACCACACCCACCACAGUCCCGGAAGCGCUGAUUCCCAAAAUAGUGGCGCUUAUGCCAGCCAUGUGAGCAGAGGUAUUGGAGGACAAAAACAACAUUGUGCCUGCACCCCCUCCUCCUUGGAAGAAGACAUCACUUCUCCUGGAUCCAGUGAUUCCAUCGAUCCAUGGCAGAAGACCCGGCUAACCACGGUAAAAAACAGCAGGGAGAGGAUUGGCCCUACAUGGAAACCUCUAGCCUACAGGGAUAUAAACGGACUGAGAUGGCCUGGGUAGUCGGGGCAUUUGAGAGGUUUGGCUCAUUACUAUGGCAACACCUGACCUCCAAGCAAGAUGUAAGAAAGUGAUCUCCACCACUGGACAGCGAAAAAGGAGUCGAUUGUCAAGACAUUGGGAGGGGCUAAAGGGUAAAAAGGUAAAGGACCUCGGUGGGUUCCAGCAAAGAACAUCAUGCCAUAUCUGCAGCCUCUGCAAGAUCACCAAGAAGCUCUACAGGAGGAAUCCUGAGAAGAACCUGCAGAAAUGAUACCUUGAGGCUUGCAAAUAACCAUCUCUCAUUUCCUAUCUGUUGUUAAUUAAUGCCACUAUUUUCUUAACCCCUUAAACAUUAUUAAUUUUUGAGUUUAACCCACAGGUUGUUCCACUGGAAAUGGCUCCUAGGAGACUCCUGUUCACUAUACCCAUCCUGAUCGAUGCCGUGCUCCUCGCUAAGACCUGGGAAGUCCCACAGCAAAGAAAAAUGUCUGGGUUACAUUAGCUAACAUCACCAAGCAGGAAACCCUGUGUCUGUCAGUAGCCACCCCUGAUAACCCCUUUUCCACCUGCUUAGUGGUGUUAUCAAUGGAUGUGUGGCCCUUAAACAAGGAUGCCAUCCAUGUUUUGCUUCCUCACAAGGAAUGGAUUCACAAUCCCAUUGAUAACUGGGAUUACUGGGCCAGGAACUUACCACAUGUACCACUAGAACCCCAAGAACUGGAAAUUCUAGGCUCUGUAAAAAAGUAUUUUUGUGUUAGAUUUCAUUAUAUCAAAAUUACUCCCAAUUUAUUAUAUACUAUCAUUACUGCCGAUGCUAUAACAAAGCAACCAGAUACAUUGUGGGAUGUUUCCCCACAUCAUGCAGUUUCUAAAAAUGAAAGUACCUGGUGUAACUACACCCAUCAUUUCCUGGUCCAGUGUUUUCCCAUUACAGUUACCACCUGGGACAUUUCUCAUUUGUGGAGACAGAGCAUGUUCUGCCAUUCCAUCUUGCAUUAAGGGCAGGCCAUGUAGCUUGGGGAGGCUUACUGUACUAGUGGUACAGGAUAUGCCAUAUGACCAAGCCCCAGGAUUGGCUUCUCCCAGUCAGAUCUCUUGUAAUGCUGCAAGCAUUUCACUGGCCAGAUCCCAAGGAGGCGUGGAGUUCAGACCAAUGAGAAUAUCCAGACCAGGUCUUUCAAAAUGCCCUUUAUAAGGGGGGGUGGGGGGUGUGGAAAAGAAAUCUCUCUGUUGCCACACAAACAUCUGGGGGUGCGUUGUGUCUUCGUCUCCUUGCCCCUCACCCCUGCCAUGUGCAACCUAACAUGUAGUGACCUCCGAAGUGAUCAGGACUCAGCCAUAGCCUGGCACAGAGCAAAGGAGACAGACGGCCAGCUGGUUUUUGGUCUAGAACUGAAUUAAUAAACAGCCUGAGAGCUGGGAAUUGGAGUAAAACCCGGACAACAGGACAUCAGAGUCUGGAUUGGUGCUUGGAACCGGAGGCAGCCUGAGAGAUGGGAACAGCAUAAAAGGAACGAUGUAAAAACCAGACUUUCGGUGAAAAAUUGGGAUUCACUGGCUAGACAGUGGUGUGAAAAAUGUAUAUUUUAUGAUUGGCUUUUCGCAAAUGUUACAAUGAAUAUUAUAUGUGUAAUGUUGGAAAGUUAUGCAGUAUUAACAUUUUAAUAAUAGACUAAAUGUAGUUUUGCAAUUAAAAUUAAGCUUUAGUAGUUAAAAUAGAACCUAUGGGUGUGAGAUAAGAUAAUCAAGAAAUUCUUCGCACAGAGAUAACAAUUACAGAAACCACUAAAUUUUCCAGAGGAGAGGAAUUUAUGGCUUUCCUUAUCAAUAGAAAUGAACUUCCUCAAGCCUGACUUAGACUCGAAGGCGCCUGGGGAUUAACAGAAAUUUUUUUACAAGUACCAGACGAAUGUCUUGUUUUAAAUAAAAUACAUGCAUAAUCAUGAA